AUGAACGCUGGCGGCGUGCCUAAUACAUGCAAGUCGCGCGAACGGACGAGAAGCUUGCUUCUCUGAUGUUAGCGGCGGACGGGUGAGUAACACGUGGAUAACCUACCUAUAAGACUGGGAUAACUUCGGGAAACCGGAGCUAAUACCGGAUGAUAUUUUGAACCGCAUGGUUCAAAAGUGAAAGACGGUCUUGCUGUCACUUAUAGAUGGAUCCGCGCUGCAUUAGCUAGUUGGUAAGGUAACGGCUUACCAAGGCAACGAUGCAUAGCCGACCUGAGAGGGUGAUCGGCCACACUGGAACUGAGACACGGUCCAGACUCCUACGGGAGGCAGUAGUAGGGAAUCUUCCGCAAUGGGCGAAAGCCUGACGGAGCAACGCCGCGUGAGUGAUGAAGGUCUUCGGAUCGUAAAACUCUGUUAUUAGGGAAGAACAUAUGUGUAAGUAACUGUGCACAUCUUGACGGUACCUAAUCAGAAAGCCACGGCUAACUACGUG
rnacentral:rRNA from 1 species